UCUUUUACAAAUCGGAAUGACCUGAAAUUUGGAGCAUGUGUUCAUAAAAAAUAGACGAAUCUAUGAAAAAUAUCAAAAAAAUAUUUUCCAUGAAAAAAAUUGAUCAAAAUACCCCAGAAAGGUUUUGGGGGUAUUUUAAUCAAUUUAUUUUUUGCGAAUUAUUUUUUUUAUAUUUUUAUUAGAUGCACCUUACUAAGAUGUACACAUGCUCCGAAUUUCAGGUCAUUUUGAUUUGUAGAAAA
rnacentral:pre_miRNA from 1 species